rnacentral:lncRNA from 1 species
UCCUGCGGGUCAACUGGUGCCCGGGUGCCUGAUUCAAUGACCAUAAUAUUCUAUUAAUACAAUAUAGUAUUAAAUUAAAAACCCUACCCCCGGCUCCUAAAAGUACGUGCGUCAAUUUAAAGUGAUCCCUAUGCCCAUAACAGCUCUCCUUCCACGUGGGAUAGUUUAGCGAUAUCUUGGGACUCAAAAAGCGCUAAAGUCCAAAAAGUCAAUCCGGAACCCCACGGGUAUAAUAUGAUCCGGAUGCCGCUAAAAGGUCCAAUAUAUUUAGGACACAUGUCCCGAGGGUAUUGGUGUCAAUCGGACGGUCGGAUUGAUCACGAUCGUGUAAUCACAUAAUUUCUAAACCCUAGCCCUAGGGUUCGCGAUUUCGGAGUAUCCGGGACUCCGAUUCGCCAUCCGUCGAAUCCUACACAAUCCUGAAAUCAUGUAGACCGACAUAUCCAAAAUUCAGUGUGAUCCACCGAUUUGGCGACACUGCACCCAAAGAUCGCGCGAUAUGAAAAAUCCGUUCGGGGCUCAAACGAACUCCGAAUCGAGAUCCGCGAAAUCCUACGUGCUCGUGACGACACGAGGGUCACAAAACUGUACAACAUGACUUCACCACCCUCGCCCAUGCGCCCCAGCGCGCGGGCAGAUUCGGGUGUCUUAAGCGAUUUCGGGUGGCCGAAAAAUCUCGGAACCAGGACUCCAAACUCUUAUCCUAGGUAAAACACCCCAUUUGGAGUCACUUUUGUUCUUGGACCUACCCCAAAAAGUGACUGGAAGUGGCCGAAAACAGAGGCCGAAAAUCGGCUGAAACUUCAAUUUAUAAACUGGGCAAUCUACGGCUAAAAUUGAUAAAAACCUAUCCAACCAUCAGCUAGAGCACGAAAAAUAGAUGAGAAUCCAUACCUUACUCGAAAGAUUUGGUUGAGAAUUGAGGGAGAACGAAGGGUUGGAAGUUUAGCCCAAAAACUGGCGGUUUUCUCCUUUUUCCGGCCAACUCCGGUCAGCUCGUGGGCGGAGAACGAUCAGGUCUUGACGGCGAGGGCGUGGCGGAGCUAUUGGUACCAACGCCGGAGAUUGGCGUGCCCUGUGGUGGCCGCUGUCUCAAUUGGAAGGGAGGAGGGUGGCUGGCGCGACGGGAGGGAGGAGAGAGAGAGAGGAG